AAGAAAGUUGACAAAUAUACCUUUCAAAAUGGUGAAAUCCAUCUCAAACUUGUUCCAAUUUUUUGUUGUUCUAGUUUUGGUUGCAGCUGAACGUAGGAUUACAACAAGUGGAUUGUGAAAAUAUAUGUGUAUCACCUAUGGGAGAAUGUGGUCGAGCGGGAGAUUGUGAUGAAAGGUGCAGAGUCUCAUACGAUGGUGGGGAAGGUUCUUGCACUCUUGGUCUAUGUAGUUGUACUCAUGGAUGUGAUUGAAGGAUCUAGAUCCUCUCAUGCCGAUUUCUCCUGUAGUCGUUCUGCGCUUAUCGCAGCCCUUAAUCACAAUUUUAUAUCUUUUACCAAUGUUUUUUUUAUAUUUAUCUAUUUUUAAUGAUGUUUAAGCCAUUAAAUAAAGCACGGGAGGGGAGACUGAACAUAAAAAGCACAGGAGGGGAAAUGAUCUAUUUUCGUGAUUGAAGGGCUUUAUGUUAUACUAGCGUUCAAACGGACACUUUGUAUCUGUUUAUCCGCUUUUUUUAUUGCCCUAACGCGUGAAAAUAUAAUAUUGUCUUUUUUAUAAUUUUGAUUUUAAUACAAACUAUUUAUACGAUGAAACAUUUUGUUUUUAUUCAGACACAUAUUAAGUUUUGUUUGUAAUAUGUAAUAUUCACGCAUUAAAUUAUUUUGAAUUGAGAAAAUCACAUUGUGACAUGAUUGUAAGACCCCAAUUUUGACCCUAAGAUCUCUCAUGCAAUCUCAUCAUAUGCAUUAGCAUUAGGAUCAUACCUUGGCAUCCUCCUUACCCCUCUUUCAUUGGGUUUGUUUUGGGAGAGAUCACCAAGCACCAUGUGAUUGUAUCAUACUUGUAUAUUUAUCAUUUCACUAAUCAAAAUACCAAAAAUAUGUGUUUGUAUUUGCCUAACUCUUUUGUAGGAAGGGCAUGAUCACCAUUGAUCUAUCAAGUUCACAUCUAGGGUUUGAGACCCUCAUAGCUAAGAUCACAACCAAGGAAUGAUCCACAAUGUCUCUAAGCAUCAUAUAUGAGUCCCAAUGAUCUCUACAUGUUAUUUUGAUCAAGCAUUCUAUAAGAGUUUGGAGUUGGUUUGCCUUGGAAACCCUAGUUUGUCUGGGUAUUUUGAGUAACUUCUUCAACAAGCUUCUUCACCAAUUGAUCAAAUUUCUCAAGGUGCACUUCAAAAUUCAUCAUCUUAUGCAUAUAUGAUCUACCAUGAGCCUAAAAAGUCAAGAGAAUUGCAAGCUAGCUAGUUGGUUGAUGGUGGUUGGCCAGAUGAAUUCAUCUGAUCAAAACUGGGUCCCCCUAGACCCUAUCUCCUACAAUUUUCAUCAUAUGAAAAUUAUUCCAAGAGCAACGUUACUCUAAAUUACAUUCCAAACAACUUUCAUGUUGAAGUCUAGAGCUAAUUUUUCUUGAAAAGUCAUUUUCUAUAUUGAAACA